UGGAAGCAACUAAAGUAAACUAAACGAGC
rnacentral:sRNA from 1 species